CCCCUCUCAGGAUAGCACCUGGAAGGUUUCCAGUACUCUACCAGUCUUGGCUACAGGAGGGAGAGUCAAGCAGAGGCAUACCCAUUCCAUUCCUGUCUUGGGCAGUGGCUUGUGAGUGGAAGGCAAUCUGCUACAAGU